CUCAGUUCAUACUUCUCUAGUGGCUUCAUCUUCUACUAUCUUGAAAAGUAUUAAUAAUAACAUUAUUUACUACUAUGCCCUCAAAGAGAUAAACCAUGGUGAUUCUCAUUCAAAGAACCAUUGCUCGCUCUCCCUGACUCACAUGGUGCAUGUAAUUCAGAAGAUAGACUUCAUUCAAAGAAUGAAAAAUAGGUGGGUCUGAGUCUCGGUGCCUCUCUCCAUCAAUUCAGUGAGCUGCAGAACGCUAUCAGCCUUGCCAAACACAGCCCAGUCGAAGCAUCUCCCUUAAAGCACUGGCUGGAACCACGGCAUGAAGAGAAAUUACCUUUCACAACAGGAAGCGGCCUGUUCUGUUUAAGCCAUUCACUCUCAAGUAGAGCCAAAAGAGGCUCCAAGUCUUUCCUGGAAGCCACCAGAAUAAUUCUAGAUCCUUCCCUACGUCAGCCUGUCAGGAAGUAAAGACAUGAAAGGAGAAAUUCCUCUGUUGUCUGGAGCAAAGACAGAGAUGUCAGCAGAACAUGUCGCCUGGCUGGGGAGCAGCACACAGGACUACAGGGUAGAGUCCGACAAGAAAGAGAAGAUUUUUUUAAAAGGCCAAAUGUGUUCAAACAAGGUAUGGCAGGCCAGCUGGAAGACAUGUCAGUCAAGAACCAGACUCUCUGCUCAGAGGUAUUUCUGUCACUUGUACAUGACAGCUUCUCAAAACUAAAUACAAGGGGGAAUUGCAGCUAGAUUUCCUCAGGGCAUAAAGAAUGUUUUGAUUGCAAUUUAGGAAACCAGCAGAUUAACUAGUAUUUGUUCAGUCUUAAGCGGCAGGCCCCUUUUCAGGUGCUUUGCACAAAUUGGCUGUUGUGGGGAGGGUGGCUAACCUAGAGAUGCAAACACUCUGAGUGGGUUUUGUUUUGGCUAUAGGGAUCGUUGGAGUUCCUGAAAGGGGACGCAAACAUUUACAAGUAUUUUUUUUUCCUCUGGGAGCAGAAACCAUAGUUUCCAUCAGAUUCUCAAACAGACCCGUGGUCCCCAAAGGUUAAUAAUCACAGUCAGCAGAAUGAACUAGCAAGGAUGAAUGAACUCACAUCUAUCGAAUAGUCUCUGCCAGGCCCUGUACUUGGCAACAUCAUCUGAUUAUUCUAAAAACCCUAUUGAUAUCAUCCCUGUUUACAGUGAGGAAAAACAAGGCAAACUGUGAACAGGCAGUCUUAGAGGCAAACACACCUAGUAACUGUAAGUCCAAGAAUAUAAACUCAGACCUAUUUCAUCCAUUUUUCCAACAUUUUUCCAUGACACUAUGAUGCUUUCCAGGUACUUUUUUGUUUUGUUUUGUUUUGUUUGCUUUUGAAGAGGAUGCAAGAUUAGCGAAAGAAGGUGUCAAGGAAGAUCAAGGUGGCAUGGUAACUGGCUCCUGCAGAAUGCAAGUUGAGUUUAGGCCUCUACAGGUAGAAGGAAGGGCAUUCUAAAUAGAAGGGAAAAGUCAGGAGAGGCCAAGCAGGGAGAAAGGAGAGGCAUUAUCCGGGGACAUCAGCCUCCCUCCUGUUGACAAGGGAGCUUCGUAAAGACUUGAGAGCCAAGUAAAAGUCAUAGGACUAAAUGCAUCCAAGCAUUAAACAUGUAGCCCAUUUAGUCUUAAAUUUCCUGUCACCCAAACCCCAGUGCAACCAGAGGAUAACCUCUCCUCUCAGAGACCCUGACAUUAA